UUUUUGGACGAUUCUACUCCUCAUAUUCUCCGUCGAAAUACCCGAACCGUACCCUCCUUCCCGAUGAUCGCCCUCCAUCCCCGUUGCCCCUCACUUCGGUCAACAGUUCCAUCACACCAUGCACACCACUUUCCUUCGUAUUUCUUUAGAUUCGCUGGAGACCUAACUUCUUCUGCUGCUAGAUCCAUUCACCUUCGGUUAGCAGGUGUGCGGAAUUUGCCUGUCUGAGGAAGAUAAAAGAAGAGUAAGGGGAGCCCUAAAUUGUUGCUCUCGCUAUUUUUGUUUUGCUUGCAUUAUGGAGCGGGCCACAACAAUCAGUAUACGUGCACGAUCAACAUGUUCGAGAGAAGUAGUGGUACAAGUGCCUCAACGUGAUCAGGUCUAUCGGCCUUCUCAAGAAGAACUCAGGAGCUAUACUGAUCCGUAUGGGAACGUUAUUUGUUCGUAGUGCCAUCAAGGCGGAGAUGAUCACCUGAUGUUACUGUGUGACCUCUGUGAUUCACCGGCCCACACAUAUUGUGUUGGUCUGGGGCGGGAAGUUUCUGAAGGUAAUUGGUAUUGUGGUGGCUGCACACCAGUUGCUUUGGGAUCCUCAUGUUCCCAAGUUCAAGAACGCGUUGCUGACUCAAGGGUGACAUGCCAGAGUAUGCCUGCUAGACCGUCACCUGUUGCAUAUGUACGAGAAAGCAUAGACCUUAACUUGCUGUUUUCGGGCAGAAGUGUCGAGGGGACUUCUCCGAUAUCUGGCGGUGGAGCCACCGACCUUAUCAGAGAGACGCUGGAUACACCAUCAAAUUCAACAAAUACUUCCAAACUACAGAAUUAAUUCUACUACUGGCAGAAGAAGAAGUAUCUACCAGUUCAACUUGUAAUUGUAACUUGCAUGGCUUUCAAAUUGAUCCAAGGAGGGGAAUAGCCGCUCAACAUACAGGGAUGUGAGAUGUGGGAACAUCAUAUCACCCAUACCUUGAGGAGAGACUAGGCAACAAUAGGGUGGGAAUCCUUUGCUAAUGAGAAUAAGCAAUGUGAGGAGGUUAGCGGUUCAAGACUCAACGCCAGUUAACAGACCUGUGACUCUGAAUGAGGCAUUUUUGCCUGAACUAUUGGCGACGCCCCCCGUAUGGGAUUAUGAACAAAUUCAUCAGCCCAAUAGCAUAUCCGACACUAUUACCAACCGUAUGAAUGUUCCUACUGUUGAAGAAGGAAAUGGUACUUUCAAGAACAUUACAAGCAGUUUGUAAACACCGUAUUAACUGCUUGCGGUCUUGAGCACAGAAAGAGCGAGGCUAUGCACUUUACCUCCACCGUCUAUCUGUACCCAUAUUGAACAAGUGGAUGAUGGACGAACGAGUCCGAUUAAAGGAAGCUGCUCAUCUUGCUUUGAUUAUUUUGUCGGAGAUGUGGUGGAGAGGAUCAUGGAUACAACAAUUCCCAAAUGGUUACGUUUAGGACUUCAGGCGUUAUUACAGGGUCUAAAGGCACGUCGUUUUUUGUUAGAUGUUAAGAACAUUAUGUCAUAUAUGCGAUAAUACAUGCAUAAACAAGAUCCUUUACAUUAGUUCCUUGUAACCCACAAGUAUAUACGUCAGUUCUUGCUUU